rnacentral:rRNA from 1 species
GACGAACGCUGGCGGCGUGCUUAACACAUGCAAGUCGAACGGAAAGGCCCUGCUUUUGUGGGGUGCUCGAGUGGCGAACGGGUGAGUAACACGUGAGUAACCUGCCCUUGACUUUGGGAUAACUUCAGGAAACUGGGGCUAAUACCGGAUAGGAGCUCCUGCUGCCUGGUGGGGGUUGGAAAGUUUCGGCGGUUGGGGAUGGACUCGCGGCUUAUCAGCUUGUUGGUGGGGUAGUGGCUUACCAAGGCUUUGACGGGUAGCCGGCCUGAGAGGGUGACCGGCCACAUUGGGACUGAGAUACGGCCCAGACUCCUACGGGAGGCAGAAGUGGGGAAUAUUGCACAAUGGGCGGAAGCCUGAUGCAGCAACGCCGCGUGCGGGAUGACGGCCUUCGGGUUGUAAACCGCUUUCGCCUGUGACGAAGCGUGAGUGACGGUAAUGGGUAAAGAAGCACCGGCUAACUACGUG